rnacentral:rRNA from 1 species
AAUGAACGCUGGCGGCAGGCCUAACACAUGCAAGUCGAACGGAUCCUUCGGGAUUAGUGGCGGACGGGUGAGUAACGCGUGGGAACAUACCCUUUGGUACGGACUACCCUCGGGAAACUGGGAGUAAUACCGGAUGUGGUCGAGAGCCGAAGGAUUUGUCGACAAAGGAUUGGCCCGCGUUGUGUUAGGUAGGUGGUGGGGUAAUGGCCUACCAAGCCGACGAUCCAUAGCUGGUUUGAGAGGAUGCACAGCCACACGGGGACUGAGACACGGCCCAGACUCCUACGGGAGGCAGCAGUGGGGAAUCUUAGACAAUGGGGGAAACCCUGAUCUAGCCAUGCCGCGUGAUCGAUGAAGGCCUUAGGGUUGUAAAGAUCUUUCAGGUGGGAAGAUAAUGACUGUACCACCAGAAGAAGCCCCGGCUAACUCCGUGCCAGCCGCCGCCGUAA